CUUCCGAUCUCGCUCUUGCGCCGAAGAUGAACGGGGCUAAGCGAUUUGUCGAAGCUGUGGGAUGUAAAAAUGAAUCGGUAGGGGAGCGUUCCGCCUUAGAAAGAAGUACCCGCGCGAGCAGGGUUGGACGAAGCGGAAGCGAGAAUGUCGGCUUGAGUAACGAAAACAUUGGUGAGAAUCUAAUGCCCCGAAAACCUAAGGAUUCCUCCGCAAGGUUCGUCCACGGAGGGUAAGUCAGGACCUAAGAUCAGGCCGAAAGGCGUAGUCGAUGGACAACAGGUUAAUAUUCCUGUACUGCCCCUUGUUGGUCCCGAGGGA